rfam:Musa acuminata subsp. malaccensis Doubled-haploid Pahang (DH-Pahang) genomic chromosome, chr4
CCGUGUUUGAGAGAGCUUCCUUCAGUCCACUCAUGGAUGGUUGUAGGGUUUGAAUCAGCUGCCGACUCAUUCGCUCAAACACCCAGUAGAAAGGAAGCGGACACAAUUCUCUACUCCACAUGGCAGCAGAAGGAAAAGGGUUUGGGUUCUGAGAUUGCUACUGUGUGAAUGAGUGAAUGAUGCGGGAGAUUAUUCUCUCUCUUCCAUUCCAUACUUGGACUGAAGGGAGCUCCCUCUCUCUCUUCU